rnacentral:rRNA from 1 species
AUUGAACGCUGGCGGCAGGCCUAACACAUGCAAGUCGAACGAGUCGCGGACGGGUGAGCAAUGUCUGGGAAACUGCCUGAUGGAGGGGGAUAACUAAUGGAAACGGUAGCUAAUACCGCAUACCAUCAGAUGUGCCCAGAUGUGAUUAGCUAGGUGGUGGGGUAACGGCUCACCAAGGCGAAGAUCCCUAGCUGGCCUGAGAGGAUGACCAGCCACACUGGAACUGAGACACGGUCCAGACUCCUACUGUAGGCAGCAGUGGGGAAUAGUGCCCAAGGGGCGAAAGCCUGAUGCAUCCAUGCCGCGUGUAUGAAGAAGGCCUUCGGUUUGUAAAGUACUUUCAGCGGUGAGGCGUUACCCGCAGAAGAAGCACCGGCUAACUCCGUGCCAGCCGCCGCGGUAAUAC